GAUGAAGAACGCAGCGAAAUGCGAUAAGUAGUGUGAAUUGCAGAAUUCAGUGAAUCAUCGAAUCUUUGAACGCACAUUGCGCCCCUCGGUAUUCCGUGGGGCAUGCCUGUUCGAGCGUCAUCUACACCCUCAAGCUCUGCUUGGUGUUGGGCGUCUGUCCCGCCUCCGCGCGUGGACUCGCCCCAAAUUCAUUGGCAGCGGUCCUUGCCUCCUCUCGCGCAGCACAUUGCGCUUCUCGAGGGGCUACGGCUCGCGUCCAACAAGCACAUUUACCGUCUUUGACCUCGGAUCAGGUAGGGAUACCCGCUGAACUUAAGCAUAUCAAUAAGCGGAGGGA
rnacentral:misc_RNA from 1 species